rnacentral:rRNA from 1 species
CCCUUCGGGGAGCUUGUACAGGUGCUGCAUGGCUGUCGUCAGCUCGUGUCGUGAGAUGUUCGGUUAAGUCCGCUAACGAGCGCAACCCUCGCUGUGUGUUACAAGUGUCACACGGAACUGCCGGUCAUAAACCGGAGGAAGGUGGGGAUGACGUCAAGUCAGCAUGGCCUUUAUAUCCUGGGCUACACACACGCUACAAUGGGAAGGGACAAUAGGUUGCGAAGCCGCGAGGUGGAGCCAAUCCAGCAAAACUUCCCUCAGUUCAGAUUGCAGGCUGCAACUCGCCUGCAUGAAGUUGGAGUUGCUAGUAAACGCAGGUCAGCCAUACUGCGUUGAAUACGUUCCCGGGGCUU